rnacentral:rRNA from 1 species
AUUGAACGCUGGCGGCGUGCUUAACACAUGCAAGUCGAGCGGUAACAGGCGUAGCAAUAAGUGCUGACGAGCGGCGAACGGGGGAGUAAUACUUCGGCAUCUUCCUUUUAGUGGGGAAUAACCUGGGGAAACUCAGGCUAAGUCCGCUAACGAACCAUAGCUGAAAGCGGGGGAUCGCAAGACCUCGCGCCAUAAGAUGAGCCGAAGUCGGAUUAGCUAGUUGGUGGGGUAAAGGCCUACCAAGGCGACGAUCCGUAGCUGGUCUGAGAGGACGAACAGCUACACUGGGACUGAGACACGGCCCAGACUCCUACGGGAGGCAGCAGUGGGGAAUAUUGGACAAUGGGGGCAACCCUGAUCCAGCGACGCCGCGUGUGUGAAGAAGGCCGGAGGGUUGUAAAGCACUUUUAGUGGGGACAAAAAGCCGAGGGCUAAUACCUUUCGGUCUUGAUUUAACCCAAAGAAAAAGCACCGGCUAACUCUGUGCCAGCAGCCGCCGUAACAC